GAGCCAAUCCAGCGCCUUGGUGCAUACUUGGUUGAAGGCUUGGUAGCAAGGAAGGAGUCAUCAGGCAAUAACAUUUACCGUGCCCUUAGGUGUAGAGAGCCUGAAAGCAAGGACUUGCUUUCGUACAUGCAGAUCCUGUAUGAAAUUUGUCCUUACCUGAAGUUUGGUUACAUGGCAGCCAAUGGAGCCAUUGCUGAAGCUUGCAAAAAUGAGGAUCGCAUCCAUAUCAUUGACUUCCAAAUUGCUCAGGGUACCCAGUGGAUAACUCUCC
rnacentral:misc_RNA from 1 species